UCUGGUGGCUAUAGCAAGGAGGUCACACCUGUUCCCAUGCCGAACACAGAAGUUAAGCU
rnacentral:rRNA from 1 species